rnacentral:rRNA from 1 species
GACGAACGCUGGCGGCGUGCUUAACACAUGCAAGUCGAACGAGUGGCGAACGGGUUAGUAAUACGUGGGAACCUGCCCUCCUGUUUGGGAUAACUACUGGAAACGGUAGCUAAUACCGCAUACCAUCAGCUGUGCCCAGAUGGGAUUAGCUAGUAGGUGGGGUAACGGCCCACCUAGGCGACGAUCCCUAGCUGGUCUGAGAGGAUGACCAGCCACACUGGAACUGAGACACGGUCCAGACUCCUACGGGAGGCAGCAGUGGGGAAUAUUGCACAAUGGGCGCAAGCCUGAUGCAGCCAUGCCGCGUGUAUGAAGAAGGCCUUCGGGUUGUAAAGUACUUUCAGCGGGGAGGCGUUACCCGCAGAAGAAGCACCGGCUAACUCCGUGCCAGCAGCCGCGGUAAUUC